rnacentral:rRNA from 1 species
GAUGAACGCUAGCGGCAGGCCUAAUACAUGCAAGUCGAACGGAUAUAUGUUUUUCGGAAUAUAUAUUAGUGGCGCACGGGUGAGUAACACGUACAUAACUUGCCCUCAAGCGGGGGAUAGCCUUGGGAAACUGAGAGUAAUACCCCAUAGAAUUAUUGGACGGCAUCGUUUGAUAAUUAAAACUACGGUGCUUGGGGAUAGAUGUGCGUCUGAUUAGCUAGUUGGUGAGGUAACUGCUCACCAAGGCGACGAUCAGUAGGGGGCGUGAGAGCGUGGCCCCCCACACGGGUACUGAGACAC